AUUGGUGUACCAUGUACCCGUUUGAGUGGUCCACUUCUCAGUCCAACUCUGAUCUUGGUGUGCAGGGCAGCAGUAAAGAGAUCUGGAGUCUGGGAAGUUCAAGAGCAUGGCACCAACAUCUGGCAAGGGCUUUCAUUCUGCAUCAUCUCAUGGAGGAAAAUAAAAAGGCAAGUGAGUGUGAGAGAGCAAGAGAGCAAGAAAAGGAAAGGGGGUCAAACUCACCCUUUUAUCACGAAAACACUCUAUCGAUAACAGCAUUGAUCCAUUCAUGAGGGAAGACCCCUCAUGUCCUAGUCACCUCUUAAAGGUCCAACCUUUCAACACUGGUUGCAUUGGGGAUUAAGUUUCAACACAUGCUUUUUGGGUGGCAUAAUUAAACCAUAACACACUUGUUAUUAGGUCAGGAGAUUUCCCAAGGUCAGAACAGUGACAGAGCUAAGCCCUGAACUUUUGUGACCUUCAAACCAGGAUUGUUUCCACAAUUUGUCAUACAUGGAUAUUUAGAACAUACUUUAGAAGUGGAGGAAAGAAUAAAAUAAUUUGAAGAUGGAGUACCCAAAAGCUGUGCCAGACAAGUCCAUUGAAACU
rnacentral:lncRNA from 10 species